rnacentral:misc_RNA from 1 species
UUUCCGUAGGUGAACCUGCGGAAGGAUCAUUAAAGUUAUAGUCCCCCGGCCCUCUGGGCUGGGGUCUUCUAUACCACCCUUUGUUUAUUACACCUUUGUUGCUUUGGCAGGCCUGCCCUCGGGCUGCUGGCUCCGGCCGGCUCGCGUCUGCCAGAGGACCUAAACUCUGUUUGUAUAUGAAGUCUGAGUACUAUAUAAUAGUUGAAACUUUCAACAACGGAUCUCUUGGUUCUG